UCACCUCCGCAGGCUGCAGGCCCCAGGCUGGGCUGGGGAGUCUCUCUCCCAAAGGCUCACCCUCAAGCACCACUAGGAGC
rnacentral:pre_miRNA from 1 species